rnacentral:rRNA from 1 species
CCUACGGGUGGCUGCAGUAGGGAAUAUUGCUCAAUGGGGGAAACUCUGAAGCAGCAACGCCGCGUGGAGGAUGAAGGUUUUCGGAUUGUAAACCCCUUUUGUUAGAGAAGAUAAUGACGGUAACUAACGAAUUAGCACCGGCUAACUCCGUGCCAGCAGCCGCGGUAAUACGGAGGGUGCAAGCGUUACUCGGAAUCACUGGGCCGAAAGAGUGCGCAGGUGGGAUAGCAAGUCAGCUGUGAAAUCCUAUGGCUUAACCAUAGAACUGCAUUUGAUACUGGUACCCUAGUGUAUUAGAGAGGUAGGUGGAAUUCGUGGUGUAGUGGUGAAAUGCGGAGAGAUCAGGAGGAAUACUCAUGGCGAAGGCGGCCUGCUAGAUCGUAACUGACGCUGAUGCGCGAAAGCGUGGGGAGCAAACAGGAUUAGAUACCCUUGUAGUC